rnacentral:lncRNA from 1 species
AGAGAAGCUAUGGGACUCAUAGAGAGCUCCUGGGAUUUGGAGUCAAAAGAGCCAACUCAUCCUCUGCCACCCUUAAAGGAGCUGUGAUCUGAAUCAGCCCUGGAGCCCUCUGUCAGAGCUGCUCAGAGGAGGCUCCAGAAAACCCUGCCACUCUGGGGCCAGAGGCUGCAGGACGUGAAGUCUAUUAAAGAAUUUUGGGGCAAAUAUCUCACAUUCACCUCUCUGCUGGCAGCAAGAGAGAGUCUCCUGGAAAUGAAGGCGGGAUAAGAAAGGGCUUAAUUCUCACUGUUGUCUCCUAUAAGCCCUUUUCCAGCCAGCUCCUGGCCACCCAGAGCUUCUCACACUGCAGAGAGUGGUUGCUCGCUGCCUGUGGCUGGGGCCCUCGGAUCAUUCAUCCAAGGAACGAAAAUACAAAAAAAAUACAAUACCGUUGGUCUUCAAACACUUGGCUGGAGGCAGAGGAAACCCACCCUCUUCUAUUCUGAGCCCUGCCUGGGGCUCAGAACCUUCUCUCCUCAGGCACCAGGGCCCCUGGGAGGCUAAGGCGAUGUCCCCCCAGCCUCCCCCAGGGCGCCUUCCAUUCAUGCUCUGAGUUCUGCAGGAGGGAGGAUCGAUGCCUUCUGUGUCUCCCGGAGACAGCCCCGCACAUUCCUGCAGAACUAUUGACAGCUUCGCCUCUCUUUCGUAUCUUCCAUACUUCAUUUGUGAAAAGAACUGUAAUUACCCUCGAGGAGUCAUUGGAGAAAAAGUGUACAAAUUGAAAAAGACUGGAAAUGGGCACCUCUGGCUGCGGAGAAAACACUUUCAAUAUGGAACCGUUCUCGCCCGGGCCUGUGCAUUCCCAUUCGCCUGGCCCUUAGCUUCUCUGCCGCAAACU